rnacentral:lncRNA from 1 species
GAAGAUAUAAUAUAUACAUAAUACCUCCUACAUAUAUUAUACCUUAUUAUUACUUCAUCAUUCGUUCGAAGGUUUUCUAUACUAUAUAUUAUAUAUGAACGAACGAAUGAAGGUGGUAUCUGAUAAUGUUGCAGUAACUGGAUUCGGCGCUGCGCGAGGGACACCGGUGAAGAUGAGUCGCCCAGAGAUAAGUGCUCCCCCGCAGGAAUUCUACAACGACAACGAAGCUCACAAGUAUACAUCUUCAUCUCGCGUCAUAGAAAUACAGGACAGACUUACGGAAAGAGCUGUCGAGCUCCUUAACUUUCCUAAGGACGACCUUCCUCGUCUCCUCCUUGAUGUCGGCUGCGGCUCUGGUUUGAGCGGGGAUCGCCUCACCGAGCUUGGCUAUUCCUGGAUAGGCAUGGACAUCAGUAAAAGCAUGUUACAGGUCGCGCAAGAUCGCACCAUAGAAGGGGGCGUCAUCCAGUAUGACAUGGGCCACGGCUGCCCUUUUCGGCCCGGGAUCUUUGAUGGCUGCGUUUCAAUAUCUGCGGUCCAAUGGCUUUGCAACGCUGACCACCUCCAGCAAGAACCUCGAAAACGCCUGAACACUUUCUUUUCCCAGCUGUAUCGAUGUUUGAAAC